AUUGAACGCUGGCGGCAGGCCUAACACAUGCAAGUCGAACGGUAACAGGAAACAGCUUGCUGUUUCGCUGACGAGUGGCGGACGGGUGAGUAAUGUCUGGGAAACUGCCUGAUGGAGGGGGAUAACUACUGGAAACGGUAGCUAAUACCGCAUAACGUCGCAAGACCAAAGAGGGGGACCUUCGGGCCUCUUGCCAUCGGAUGUGCCCAGAUGGGAUUAGCUAGUAGGUGGGGUAACGGCUCACCUAGGCGACGAUCCCUAGCUGGUCUGGGAGGAUGACCAGCCAAACUGGAGCUGAGACACGGUCCAGACUCCUACGGGAGGCAGCAGUGGGGAAUAUUGCACAAUGGGCGCAAGCCUGAUGCAGCCAUGCCGCGUGUAUGAAGAAGGCCUUCGGGUUGUAAAGUACUUUCAGCGGGGAGGAAGGGAGUAAAGUCAAUACCUUUGCUCAUUGACGUUACCCGCAGAAGAAGCACCGGCUAACUCCGUGCCAGCAGCCGCCGUAA
rnacentral:rRNA from 1 species